GCCAGGGUGGCGUAGUAGUUUGAGUGUUGGAUUAGGACUUUGGAGACCAGGGUUCGAAUCCCAGCUCAGCCA
rnacentral:tRNA from 1 species